GGUUGAUAAUAUGGAGCUUUUUUGAUCUUGUUUUGCAGAUUUGAGUUCAGUGUUUCUAUGGUGGAGCUCCACAGGAGGACUCUUGAUGUAGCCGUGAAGAACGGAGGAAGCAUCCUGUCCAAACACAAAGGCUUUCUGGGAAAGGUACUUGUAGAUUUAAGUGGGGAGGAUAUCUCUAAAGGAUGGACGCAAUGGUAUGAUCUGAGUGAUGACGGCGUGUCGUCUCGAAGCUUAAGAAGUAUUCACGACCCCCUCCUCUCAUAAUGGACUCUCCCGUUUCUGCUGUAAUAUAGACAUCUUGUUAUUAUAAGGGCACAUUUAUUUAUGUACAAUUUUCAAUUCAUCCCAGGACUCAUGUCAGCAUGCAACAACAUCUCCCAUCUCAUCCUCAUCCUGGUACAGAUUGCGAUGCGUUUGAAACUCACUAACUGCCUUGUCUCCGGUGUUUUAUGUAAAUAAGAAGUUGAUAAUAUAAUGAUUUGCAGGGGCUUUGUGGCAUCAUAUUGAAAUAUGUCAACCUGGUUAUUACCGUCUGUCCCAUUUGUUCAAUUCUGUUUGAGAACUCGUACCAAAGGAACGGAAACAAACACAAACGUAGCGAUAUUUCUUUUGUCAUGCAGUGUUAUUUGAUUGUUUACCUCUAAUUGUACGGUGGUCGUCCUCCGUAUUGUUGUUAUUUAUGCUUGAUUAUACACAAGGAAUGCACAUAUGCAAAGAGUAAAAUGAUUGCACUGUAUAUUUUACGAGGAUGUAAGUGAAGGGGCAUUUUAGGGCUAUGAACAAGUGCUAAAGUGUGAAAUGAAGGAUACUUGAAUAAGUGUUUUGAUUGGCGUUCGAACCAAUCGUGAAUAAUGUGAGCAGCCGUUUGAAGAGGACUUGAGUUAAGUUGUGAGGUUUGUACCGUUGGACGUUUUAAAUACCUGUUAUCGAUCCUGUGCCUUAAAUAAACCCGCGGUGUAAUGUUUGCCUU